rnacentral:rRNA from 1 species
CCUACGGGUGGCAGCAGUGGGGAAUAUUGCACAAUGGGGGAAACCCUGAUGCAGCGACGCCGCGUGAGUGAAGAAGUAUUUCGGUAUGUAAAGCUCUAUCAGCAGGGAAGAAAAUGACGGUACCUGACUAAGAAGCCCCUGCUAACUACGUGCCAGCAGCCGCGGUAAUACGUAGGGGGCAAGCGUUAUCCGGAUUUACUGGGGGUAAAGGGAGCGUAGACGGCAUCACAAGUCUGGAGGGAAAUGCCGGGGCUUAACCCCGGAACUGCUUGGGACACUGUGCAGCUAGAGUGCAGGAGAGGUAAGUGGAAUUCCUAGUGUAGCGGUGAAAUGCGUAGAGAUUAGGAGGAACACCAGUGGCGAAGGCGGCUUACUGGACUGUAACUGACGUUGAGGCUCGAAAGCGUGGGGAGCAAACAGGAUUAGAUACCCUAGUAGUC